AAUUUAGCAACACUUUUCCCGCAGGAUCUCUUGCAAGAAGAAAAUAAUCUCCAAAUUCGACCUGUCAAUUUUAUUUCUCAUGAAAACAGCAAGUUAACUCAAAGAAUUUAUCACACAAAUAGUCAAUUUGUUAGAACUUGCUUAGUAGUGAAUUGGGAACAUGAAGAAAAGACACGUUGUAAUAUAAAGGACUAG
rnacentral:rRNA from 1 species